rnacentral:rRNA from 1 species
ACGGAGGGUGCAAGCGUUAUUCGGAAUUACUGGGCGUAAAGCGUGUGUAGGCGGUUCUGCAAGUAUGAUGUGAAAGCCCAGGGCUUAACCCGGGAAGUGCAUUGGAAACUGUGGAACUUGAGUACUGGAGAGGAUGGGAGAAUUCCCGGUGUAGAGGUGAAAUGCGUAGAGAUGGGGAGGAAUAUCGGUGGCGAAGGCGGCCAUCUGGACUGUUACUGACGCUCAGACGCGAAAGCGUGGGGAGCAAACAG